ACUCCUCAUCAAUGAUGAACCUUGAUUCGUGAUUGGACACAACUGGUUGUUCUUCAGCAUCACCUUGUCUCCAACACAGUCAAGUUGCUACUCCUCUGGAUAUCCCAUUGUUCCUCCACUGGACCUAAUGAAACACUGAUGGGAUUGAAGUCAUCUGCUCCCCCCCACAUCCAUCAAAGCAGUAAAUAACCAGUCAGUCCAUCAUCAGGGGUUCAAGUGACGACAGUAUGUCAUCAUCACAUGACAAGAGAUGGACAAAAGCACGAAAGGAAUUCAAGGAAAGUGUUGAAGUAUUCAGACACCUCCUUGAUGAACAUUUGACGGACCUUCAGGCAAAAGUGAAAGAGCUUCGUCAGAUAGCUGACAGUUAUGAGACUUGGUACCGUGCCACUACUAGAGGUAGUCAGGUAGGGGGUAUUAUUGGGGCGACUGGAGGGAUCACUAUUUUAGUAGGCCUUGCCCUGGCUUUAUUAAAUUUCGGCUCCUCCAUGGUUGUUGCCGCGGUGGGUAUGGGAAUAGGUGUAACUGGUGGGAUUACUGGCGCUGCUUCUACCAUCACCAGCAUGGUGAGUCAAAAAAAUGACAGAGACAACAUUCAGUGCAUUCAGAAACAUUUUCUGGAAAAUGUCAAACCAAUUGAGGAAAGUUUGAGUAAAAAUCAACUCGAAAGUUGAAGAAUUAAAGGCAAUGGCCAAUGAUCCAGCUAAACCAGGGGCUGAACUUUAUAAGAUAGCAUCUAGCCUGUAUUGUUUAGAACACGUUGUCUCUUUUGCUAAGCUUGCAAAUAUUGCCACACUAGGUGCCUCAUCUUCUAAAUCUCUCCGUGCGGCAGCAGCAUUGAGAGGGGUGCUCUCUAGCCUACUCCUAGGUCUUGACAUAAUGUUGAUUGUCAAGGACGUCAAGGAACUUGAUGCAAUGGAAAAUGGAAACCAAAUUCAGUCUGACACAGUGCCGUUUAUUCAGACAAUCAGGGACAUGGCUAAACAGUAUAAGCAGGCUAUUGACACGUUUAAACAGGCAAAGGAAGAACUUGAAAAAGAAUGAACUGAAAAACAUUGUUUUCAUACUAUUUUUUUCUUAAUCAGAUUAUACUUCUUGAAAUGAGUCUGAUUUUAUCAUUAUGUUCAGAUUAGAUCAUGUAUUCGACAAGGUAACUGUAUCCUGGGUUUGGAAUUGUAGUGUAUGAACUAUGUAUAUGGACAUAUCAAGAUACAUGGUGGUAUUAUCCAUGACAUAUGGUCUAUGUUGAUUUUAUAUUUGUACAGAAAUAUAUUGUGUUUGAUCUUUCUUACCUUUUAUAAUGUUAUUUGUUAAAUACUUUGAACUGAAUUUGUUGAAAGAAAUGUGCUAAUGUGUGUUUGAUUGACUGGUUUUUAUCUAACUUGAAUUGAAAGAAUAUAUGACUAAUGUAUACAUUGAAAUGUAAAUUGCUUGUAAUCUAGCUAAAGUAUGUGUCCUGAGGAUGUACAAGUAAAAUUUUUACCUAAAUGUAAAAUAUGCAUUUCAUAAGUAAUUAACUGUAAAUAUCAACAUAAUAUCAGCUAGCUCCCAAUGUACCAUAUAUGCCUUAGCAGUACUUUGAGGAAGUCAGCUAAGCAAUGUUCAUUAUUGAUUAUUUUCUCCUUAAAUUUUUUGAAGCACUUUGAAAUUCAUCAUCUGUAAGAAAUGUCCCAUAUAAACAAAGUUUGAUUAAACUUAACUUUUAUGUCUCUUAUGAAAAGUACAUUAACAGCAAAUGUAAAGCAAAUUUGAAAUUGUUAUUAAAGUAUUAUUGAACAAA